AAGUCGGCAGAAUAGAUUUGUAACUUCGGAAAAAGGAUUGGCUCUGAGGGCUGGGCAUGGGGGUCAUAGUCUCGAACCCGUUGGUUGUUGAUGGAUUGCUCGAGUUUCUCCCACAGCGAGAGUGGGUCACCGUGUGCUGGUCGAGGGAAGGACAGGGAACGGUUCCUUUGGGGGCCUUCCCCGCGCGUCGAAAAAACAACUUAGAAUUGGUAUGGACAAGGAGAAUCCGACUGUUUAAUUAAAAUAAAGCAUUGUAAUGGUCUCAAUGGAUGUUCACGCAAUGUGAUUUCUUUCAGUUGUUAUUGUAUACUUCUCAUUCUAUAUUUUUGUAUAAAAGAAUUUGUGAUUAUUUAGG
rfam:Capsicum annuum cultivar Zunla-1 chromosome 10, whole genome shotgun sequence